rnacentral:rRNA from 1 species
CGCGAAGAACCUUACCUGGUCUUGACAUCCACGGAAGUUUUCAGAGAUGAGAAUGUGCCUUCGGGAACCGUGAGACAGGUGCUGCAUGGCUGUCGUCAGCUCGUGUUGUGAAAUGUUGGGUUAAGUCCCGCAACGAGCGCAACCCUUAUCCUUUGUUGCCAGCGGUCCGGCCGGGAACUCAAAGGAGACUGCCAGUGAUAAACUGGAGGAAGGUGGGGAUGACGUCAAGUCAUCAUGGCCCUUACGACCAGGGCUACACACGUGCUACAAUGGCGCAUACAAAGAGAAGCGACCUCGCGAGAGCAAGCGGACCUCAUAAAGUGCGUCGUAGUCCGGAUUGGAGUCUGCAACUCGACUCCACGAAGUCGGAAUCGCUAGUAAUCGUGGAUCAGAAUGCCACGGUGAAUACGUUCCCGGGUCUUGUACACACC